rnacentral:rRNA from 1 species
UGGGGAAUAUUGCACAAUGGGGGAAACCCUGAUGCAGCGACGCCGCGUGAACGAAGAAGGUAUUCGUAUCGUAAAGUUCUGUCCUAUGGGAAGAUAAUGACAGUACCAUAGAAGAAAGCUCCGGCUACAUACGUGCCAGCAGCCGCGGUAAUACGUAUGGAGCGAGCGUUGUCCGGAAUUAUUGGGCGUAAAGGGUACGCAGGCGGUUUAAUAAGUCGAAUGUUAAAGAUCGGGGCUCAACCCCGUAAAGCAUUGGAAACUGAUAAACUUGAGUAGUGGAGAGGAAAGUGGAAUUCCUAGUGUAGUGGUGAAAUACGUAGAUAUUAGGAGGAAUACCAGUAGCGAAGGCGACUUUCUGGACACAAACUGACGCUGAGGUACGAAAGCGUGGGGAGCAAACAGG